AUGGUGAAGCAAAUACAGCAAAAAUGUGAGGCCACCAUAAGUCAAUUUGAGUCGGAAGCUGCUGAUCUGAAGAAGCGCCUGACAACUCAAGAACUUGAAAUUCAGAAGGCCAACUGCAAAUUUGAAUUCAGUGUCUCUGAACAAGAAAAGUUGAAGAAGAAUUUUGAGGCGGAGAAGAAAAUCUGGGCCGAUGAAAAGGCUUCACUGGUGACCCGGGCCGAGACGGCAGAGGCAUUGCUUGCAGAAGCAACAGCAGAGCUGUUCGGCUUAAAGCGUCAGAUAUCUCAAAUGGUCUCAGCAAUCUUUGGCUCUAGGAGCACAAAUCUCAAGCAUAACAUGUUGAUCAAGCUGAAGGUGGUUUGUACUCUUGUGGAGCAGCUCUACACCAGGUCACAACGUGCUCUGGCCGUUGUAGCUUUAUCAGAUGAGGUUCCUUACCUCCUGCAAGACGUGCUGAAACGGCUUGCUUCACUACCUCAACGGGUCCAAGAUCUAAGGCGGGUGUCCGCAAGAGCUGGGGCCGUAGCUGCGUUGAGCCGGGCGAAAGCAUGGAUUCCGGAACUAGACCCGGCCGACCUCGCUCUUGGAUACCCCAGUCUUAAAGAAGAUGGGACCGUAUUUGCUGAACAUGACUUCACCGCCUAUGUCAAAGAUAUACGCCCCAUGGCUACUCUUAUCGGGAACGAUACUGAUCUUACCAAGUAUCAGCCGGGCUAUGACAACGAGAAUCGGAGAAUCCCAACACCUCCCUAUGAUGAAGUCAGCCCGAUCCCUCCAACUCGUAAGCAUACCUUUGCCCCUGAAGUGGAUCCAGCCAGUUUAAUAGAUGAUGAAGCCGAGUUUGAAGCCUUGAGUGGCAUUGACUGGGCCUCGUCAACCUUCCAGGACAAAGCAGCCGACGGAGAGGUGAAGAAGGAUAACCCGGAAUCUUCAAGCAUACCAGAGGAGUGA
rnacentral:rRNA from 1 species